GGAGCGAUGGGUGAGUGACUCAAACCACGCCCUUGCUAAGGGCGCGAAGGGGAAACUCUUCCGAGGGUUCGAAUCCCUCUCGCUCCGCCA
rnacentral:tRNA from 1 species